GGGGGCGUAUUUGGUUUCGACGGGGAUUCAGGGGUUAAGAGAAGCGAGCGGCAGCCCCGAACUGCCUUAAAAGCGGGAAGAAAAAUAACUGCGAAUAACGAAAAUUACGCUUUUGCUGCUUAAUGCAGCAAACGUCGACCCUAAGCCUCCUGCGGCGUAGGCCACCGGCGUCAUAAAGGCAGGGAACGGGUUUGGCAAAGCUUUGAGCCAAACCGGCAUUUAUGAAGCUACCGUAAUGGGAAUUCUGUCUGCGGAAGUCCCAUGAGGGGAAUCCCAAAACACAGACUGCGCUCGGAGAUGCUCUUAUCGUCGGGUUUUCGGACAGGGGUUCGACCCCCCUCGCCUCCAUAA
rnacentral:tmRNA from 1 species